AACUAACAUGACCAAAAAGGAAACCAAUAAAUGUGGGAGGGGAUGUGGAAAAAAAGAUGCACUAAGGCACUGUUGGUAGAGUUGUGAACUUGUCUAGCCAUUCUGAAGAAUAAUUUGGAACUAUGCCUAGAGGGUUCUGAGUAUAGAAGAACAAGUAGGCCAGCGAGGCUGGAUUGUAGAGUGAUACUUUAGGUUGUACAAAGGUAUGGAGAGGAAGAUGAUGAAAUGUCAAGUGGGGUGCUGGUUGAUACUUCAACCUUCAUCGAAGGUACUCUCUGAAGGAAAUAAGCAUUUAUUAAGCAUCUACUAUAUGCCAGAUGCUGUGCCAGGUACUUCACAAAUAUUAUCUCAUCCGAUUCUCACAAUGACUCUGGGAGAGUAGGACCCCAAGUUCUUCAGUUCAUUGGCAUCUUCCAUGAAGAAAUUCCCAGGACGGAUAUUCCCAUCCAUGGUGCAUUUGCCCAGAGACAUUGCUCCCAGAGUCUCAGAGCUUAGCUCUGGGUGGUGGCUCCCCAAACUCUGCCC
rnacentral:lncRNA from 1 species